CCACGCGGUGAAUUUAA
rnacentral:rRNA from 1 species